GACGAACGCUGGCGGCGUGCCUAAUACAUGCAAGUCGAACGCAGUGGGGACGGGUGAGUAACACGUGGGUAACCUCCCAUCAGAGGGGAUAACACUUGGAAACAGGUGCUAAACCGAUACUGAUGGAUGGACCGGCGGGGCAUUAGCUAGUUGGGGGGGUAACGGCUCACCAAGGCCACGAUGCAUAGCUGACCUGAGAGGGUGAUCGGCCAAACUGGGACUGAGACACGGCCCAGACUCCUACGGGAGGCAGCAGUAGGGAAUCUUCCGCAAGGGACGAAAGUCUGACCGAGCAACGCCGCGUGAGUGAUGAAGGUUUUCGGAUCGUAAAACUCUGUUGUUAGGGAAGCGGGAUCUAACCAGAAAGCCACGGCUAACUACGUGCCAGCCGCCGCGGUAAUUC
rnacentral:rRNA from 1 species